AACCCAUGUUGAGGAUAUUUUCGCAGAAGUUCCUUGAAACUUUCCCAUUUCACAAAUAGAGACUCUAAUUCCAUUUGCACGAAGGAAGAAAUCUCAUUCCUAAGCUU